CCAUUCUUCCAUCCGGUAAUCCCCAGCGGUCAGGCCGGGCAGCCUGACCGAUCCGGCGCCUACUUGCUGCGCCUAGCUGCUGCGCGGUCUGACCGCUCGUGGAGUUUUUCAUGUCUGACUUUAACCGCAUCUAAUACUGUAUUACGGCGUGAGCGCAACAGCGACAACUUAAUAUCGAUGUGUAAGCAGCCUGAGUGGUAGGGUGUUUUCAUCUGAACCCUCCAGCAGGCUAUGCUGCACUAUUGACGUGUUAGCGCGCGGCGCUAACAACUUAGCAACGUGACAUGUCUCUGAGAAAGCGUAAAACACGGACGCUUCUUCUGAAGCGGAAAAUAACACCUCUUCUUAAGCAGAGCAGGAUGUCGCCUCGGCUCGUUCACGGCCGAGCCGGACUGAGCUCGAUAACAUUGACCAAGCACAGCCACUGGGCCGUUGUAGCUGCCACCAGGCCUGCUGAAGGAACUCCAGCGGGUUUCAUCAGACUCGUAAAGUUUCUUGUUUUUGCUGGGGAUUUCUGUAUUUUACCGCUCCCUCCUGCAGUCUUCCCCUAUUAAAAUUUAAAAUGUGUAACUUUAUGUAUUGUGAUGAAUGACUAAUAUUCAUGUUAAACUGAAACGUUAGGCAUUUAGGGGGAAAAAACAAAAUAAUAAACAUUAUACAGAUGUCAAAUAAAUCAAACUGUAAUUAAACUAUAUAUUUUCAAAGUCAUAUAGACAGCAUGAUGGUUUGUGUGAUCCGUGCGGUUUCACUUACACCCCUUUAAUGAUCAGGCUGUUAUUUAUUAUUUUUAUCAGCUGAUAGCAGUUAAAAUUAUGGUAAAAAAUAAUUUUAUCUGUUUUUGAUAACUUAAUGCCCAGGAAGAGCAUCUUCCUGGGCAUUAAAUAUAACCCAAAUGUUUUAUUAUGAGCAGAUCUGAUGAAGGUUUAGACAAGCAGUCUGCAAAGUAAAACUUGUUUAGAGUCCAAACUCUUACUAAAGCUUUUGAAAAGAAAAAAUGGUUGAAUUUUGAGAAAUAUCCACAACAGGGGAGCGAGACCUCUGAAAAAUGUAUAUUUUCUCUGAAUUCAUAGAAUAAUGUGAAGAUUCUGGGAAAAGUUGGGAUUCUGAGAUUAAAACGUAAAUCUUUCUAAUCAUAAUUCUGGCAGUUUUUGUGUCCUUCUGCUGUGGAAAGUCGUGCAACAUGAAGAUACUGAGAAGAUGCUUACAACCUGUAUUUUUAUUCCAUCCAUAAAUAAAAUCAUGAGCUAUUUUUUUAAUCCAAAUUUGAUCCAAAGGGCCAUCGUUGGUUCCAGACCCGUUCUAGAACAUUCCUCUAAUCUUAAAGUCAUCAUCAGUUUCUUCCUUUUAACAAAUAUUUAUUUGUUCAAAUAUUUAAUAUUUAUAACUGGAAUAUUUGUUCCUCCCUCUCCCACUGCAGUUAGUCCUGUCCUGCAACCCUGUUUUUGCAGCUUAGUGAAGCCAACCAUCACUAACCUGGGGGUGGUUUUGGACCCAGAGAUGCGGAUGGACUCCCACAUUAGCCAGGUGGUUAGAUCCUGCUUUUCCCGGCUUCGCCAGCUACCAAAGAUGAAGUCCAUCCUGAAAGACGUGUCAUAUUUUCUCCCCAAGCUGGACCUGACCGUCAUGUAUCGGUCCAAAAUAGUGUGAUGAUAUUGUGUUUUUGUACAUAACAGACUUUUUAACAGACAAAUUUGUCGCAUUCUCCUACACCUCUUCACGGGCUCGCCACAGUAAAUAUUCUAUUUGGCAAGAGAUAAACUUUAUUGUAUUUAUCCUAGUGAAUCUAUAAUUAAACGGGUAAACUAGUAGUAGCACAUCCAACAUCAAAGAAAGUAAAAUGUUAUUAUCAGGAGAGGGAGAAUGUUUAAGUGGUUAGCAGCAGUGUGCUAGCCGAUGGCCCCCUCCAUGAGGCCACCACAACUCAGCAGAACAUCAUUGUAGCUUCUUCUGGGGAGAAAAACACUUAGAGAGAAAAUAAAGUUAACAGCUGAAAUAGCAGGAAAUAAUACAGUUAAAGAGCAGAUUGUAGAAGAAAGAAACCCCUGGGUUAAACUGGUCUGUCUACUGCAUAAUGCUGAACUCUAACAUGUGUCCUAAGGGAAGGACCUGAUUGGUGUCCAGAACCUGCUGAAGAAGCACCAGGCUCUGCAGGCUGAGAUCACAGGUCAUGAACCUCGCAUCAAGGCUGUCACCCAGAAAGGAGAGACCAUGGUGGAAGAAGGUCACUUCGCUGGUGAGGAAGUGAAGACUAAACUGUGGGAGCUUCAUGGACGUUGGGACACGCUGAAGGCCAAGGCGUCCCAGAGGAGGCAGGACCUGGAGGACUCUCUGCAGGCCCAGCAGUACUUUGCGGAUGCUAAUGAGGCCGAGUCCUGGAUGAGGGAGAAGGAGCCCAUCGUUGGAAGUCCAGACUAAGGGAAAGACGAGGACUUGGCCGAGGCUCUCCUGAAGAAGCACGAGGCCCUGAUGUCGGACCUGUCAGCUUACGGCAGCAGCAUCCAGGCCCUGAAGGAGCAGGCCCAGUCCUGCAGGCAACAAGGUGAUCAGCAGGUGCUUUUGUCCUGCAGGACCUGAAGGCCAACGAGUCCCGCCUGAGGGACAUCAACAAGGUGGCAUCUGAACUGGAGUCAGAAGGUCUGAUGGCUGAGGAGGCUCCUAUGGUUCAGGCUCAGGUGAGCGUCACCUGUCUGCAGCAGCUGGUCCCUCUCACUUCCUGGUUUAACUCUGCUCGUCUCUGUUUGUAGCAACAAGAACAUCUGGGUUCUGCUCCUGGAAAGGUGCGUGUUGUCCUCCGCCUCCACCAGAACCAGACGUGGUGUUUAUGUUACCACUCAUUUGUUUGUUUACAGGAUGAAGCCGACUCUAACACGGCGUCACCCUGGAAGGUGAGUUCAUUCAGCUGAUCAGAGGUCACCUCUGAUGGCAGCAGUCACGGCCGACCGUGCUGACAUCACACAGGAAUUCAGGUGACCCGGCAGGCACCAGGUUUUGGUGAAAGUGGGGACAUGUCAGCUGGUUGCCAUGGCUAGUUAUCUUUAUGCAUCUGUAUGACUGCUGACUGGUGUGUGUUUCCUGUGACCUUUGACCUCAGACCGUACGGUUGGGCGUUCAGACGACGGCUAACUUUAAUUCCAUCAAGGUAAGAGGAAGCUCUUCCCUUCCUGUCUGAGCGAUCCGUCUCCAGGUUUCUUCGUCCGGCGUCCAGCCCGCUGGCGUCCACCUUCAUCUCACCUUCAUCUCAUCUCACUUCAUUUAUAGUGCAAUACUUUCACAUUAUCAUUUUCCCACACUUCUGUAUACCUGUAUUUUGUUGUUUUUCAAUAAAGAAUGACAAAUUA